rnacentral:rRNA from 1 species
GACGUAGGUGGCGAACGUUAUCCGGAAUCAUUGGGCGUAAAGGGCGCGUAGGUGGCCCGGUCAGUUCGUGGUGAAAGCGCGGGGCUCAACCCUGCGUCGGCCAUGAAUACUGCCGCGGCUGGAGCACUGUAGAGGCAGGCGGAAUUCCGGGUGUAGCGGUGGAAUGCGUAGAGAUCCGGAAGAACACCGGUGGCGAAGGCGGCCUGCUGGGCAGUUGCUGACACUGAGGCGCGACAGCGUGGGGAGCAAACAGG